AGCGAACGCUAGCGGCGCGCCUAACACAUGCAAGUCGUGCGAGAAAGUUCCCUUCGGGGGAUUAGUAAAGCGGCGCACGGGUGAGUAACACGUGGAUAAUCUACCUUUUAGUCUGGGAUAACCCGCCGAAAGGCGUGCUAAUACCGGAUAAGACCACGGGACAUAAGUCCUGCGGUUAAAGGCGGGGACCUUCGGGCCUGCCUCUAGAAGAUGAGUCCGCGUCCCAUCAGCUUGUUGGUAAGGUAACGGCUUACCAAGGCUAAGACGGGUAGCUGGUCUGAGAGGACGAUCAGCCACACUGGCACUGGAACACGGGCCAGACUCCUACGGGUGGCAG
rnacentral:rRNA from 1 species